CAGCAGUCGCCGCGGGAACACAGAGGGUGCGAGCGUUAAUCGGAUUUACUGGGCGUAAAGCGUGCGUAGGCGGCUUCUUAAGUCGGAUGUGAAAUCCCUGAGCUUAACUUAGGAAUUGCAUUCGAUACUGGGAAGCUAGAGUAUGGGAGAGGAUGGUAGAAUUCCAGGUGUAGCGGUGAAAUGCGUAGAGAUCUGGAGGAAUACCGAUGGCGAAGGCAGCCAUCUGGCCUAAUACUGACGCUGAGGUACGAAAGCAUGGGGAGCAAACAGGAUUAGAUACCCGUGUAGUCCCUGUCUCUUAUAC
rnacentral:rRNA from 1 species